rnacentral:rRNA from 1 species
AAGUCGUAACAAGGUUUCCGUAGGUGAACCUGCGGAAGGAUCAUUAGUGAAUGAGGCUUUCGAGCUUCAACCCACUGCCAUUGCACUUUGGCUGUGCGCCUCUCCUCGCAGAGGCUUGCACGCCGAUUUGCAUUGAUUCUCACACCUGUGCACCCUUCGAGAUGUGGACUACGGGAGAAUUUUUUUUUCUGCCUGCAAGUCCCGUCUCGCCUUUUACCAAACCACUGUCACGAAUGUACAAAACCUAUAACUUAUACAACUUUCAACAACGGAUCUCUUGGCUCUCGCAUCGAUGAAGAACGCAGCGAAAUGCGAUAAGUAAUGUGAAUUGCAGAAUUCAGUGAAUCAUCGAAUCUUUGAACGCACCUUGCGCUCCUUGGUAUUCCGAGGAGCAUGCCUGUUUGAGUGUCACGUGAAACCCUCACCCCUGCGAUGUCAAAGUCGUGGACGGUGGAUUUGGACGCUGCCGUUGUUGGCUCGUCUCGAAAUGCAUUAGCCGUGCGCGUCGUGCCAGUGCCUCUCGGUGUGAUAAUUAUCUACGCCGCUCAGAGUGCCCGUGCCCAAGACCGUGGCUCAUAGCCGUCUUCGGACAAUUUUCUUAACGCUCUGGCCUCAAAUCAGGUAGGACUACCCGCUGAACUUAAGCAUAUCAAUAAGCGGAGGAAAAGAAACUAACAAGGAUUCCCCUAGUAACGGCGAGUGAAGCGGGAAGAGCUCAAAUUUGAAAUCUGGCGGUCUACGGCCGUCCGAGUUGUAGUCUAGAGAGGUGUUUUCCGCGUCGGACCGUGUACAAGUCCCUUGGGAUAGGGCGUCAUAGAGGGUGAGAAUCCCGUCCAUGACACGGACUGCCGAUGCUUUGUGAUGCGCCUUCAAAGAGUCGAGUUGUUUGGGAAUGCAGCUCAAAAUGGGUGGUAAAUUCCAUCUAAAGCUAAAUACAGGCGAGAGACCGAUAGCGAACAAGUACCGUGAGGGAAAGAUGAAAAGCACUUUGGUAAGAGAGUUAAACAGUACGUGAAAUUGUUGAAAGGGAAACGCUUGGAGUCAGUCGCGUCGGCCGAGACUCAGCCUUGCUUCUGCUUGGUGCACUUCUCGGUUGAUGGGCCAGCGUCAAUUUCGACUGCCGGAGAAGGAUCGGGGGAAGGUGGCACCUUUCGGUGUGUUAUAGCCCCCGGUUGUACACGGUGGUUGGGAUUGAGGAUCGCAGCACGCCUUUUGGUCGGGGUUCGCCCACGCCACGUGCUUAGGAUGCUGGCGUAAUGGCUUUAAACGACC